CCGAUGGUUGUUCUACAGGUG
rnacentral:miRNA from 1 species